AUCUGGCUGGCUCAGUUGGUGAAGCAUGUGACUCUUGAUCUCAGGAUUGUGGGUUCAAGCCCCAUGUUGGGUG
rfam:Canis lupus familiaris chromosome X, whole genome shotgun sequence.